rnacentral:rRNA from 1 species
ACGAACGCUGGCGGCGUGCUUAACACAUGCAAGUCGAACGCGCCUGUCCUCUGGGUUUCUGGGGGGUGGGUGAGUGGCGAACGGGUGAGUAACACGUGAGUAACCUGCCCCCUUCUUCGGGAUAACGGUCUGAAAGGGCUGCUAAUACCGGGUAUUCACUGGUCUCCGCAUGGGGUCUGGUGGAAAGGUUUUUUUCUGGUGGGGGAUGGGCUCGCGGCCUAUCAGCUUGUUGGUGGGGUGAUGGCCCACCAAGGCUUUGACGGGUAGCCGGCCUGAGAGGGUGACCGGUCACAUUGGGACUGAGAUACGGCCCAGACUCCUACGGGAGGCAGCAGUGGGGAAUAUUGCACAAUGGGCGCAAGCCUGAUGCAGCGACGCCGCGUGAGGGAUGGAGGCCUUCGGGUUGUGAACCUCUUUCGCCCGUGGUCAAGCCGCGACGUGGGUCGUGGUGAGGGUAGUGGGUAAAGAAGCGCCGGCUAACUACGUG